rnacentral:lncRNA from 1 species
UCCAUAAUGCUGAAGUACGAUAUUCAAGAGCGAAGAAUAUGAUCUAUGCUCUAAUCAUAUCGGUACAAUGACUUCAUCUGUACUUUCAAGUACAUCCGAUUAUAGUCUUGACAGACCAGUUACUGAAGGUAAUUUUACAUCGACCUAAUACGUCAGAUCAGAUGAUGAAGUGGACAGUAAAGCUUGAUGAAUUUGACAUACAAUAUCGCCCAUGACCAUCCAUGAAGGCAUAAAUUUUAGCCGACUUUAUCAUCGAAUAUACAAUACCUGACAAUAAAUCAGUAGAUACAGAUAACAACACAAUAAGGCAGGCUACGACUCUCGAACCCGACCAA